rnacentral:rRNA from 1 species
GUUGUAAUCUGCAGAGGGAGUUUCGGGUGAAGUCUGGUUUAAGUUCCUUGGAACAGGACGUCAUAGAGGGUGAGAACCCCGUCAGUGACCAAUCACUAACCCGUGUGAAACCCCUUCGACGAGUCGAGUUGUUUGGGAAUGCAGCUCUAAAUGGGUGGUAAGUUUCAUCUAAAGCUAAAUAUUGGCCGGAGACCGAUAGCGCACAAGUAGAGUGAUCGAAAGAUGAAAAGCACUUUGGAAAGAGAGUUAAAUAGUACGUGAAAUUGUUGAAAGGGAAGCGCUUGCGGCCAGACCUGUGCAUAGGUGAUCAGUUGGUAUUUUUACCAAUGCACUCACCUAAAGCCAGGCCAGCAUCGGUUUCGGCGGCGGGACAAAAGCGUGGAGAAUGUAACUCUCUCUUGGGUGAGUACUUAUAGCUCGUCAUGAAAUGCCGCCAGCCGAGACCGAGGACCGCGCUUCGGCUAGGAUGCUGGCGUAAUGGUUGCAAGCGACCCGUCUUGAAACACGGACCAAGGAGUCUAACAUCUAUGCAAGUGUUUGGGUGUAAAACCCGGGCGCGGAAUGAAAGUGAACGGAGGUGGGAACCCUUAAAGGGGGUGCACCAUCGACCGAUCCUGAUGUCUUCGGAUGGAUUUGAGUAUGAGCAUAGCUGUUGGGACCCGAAAGAUGGUGAACUAUGCCUGAACAGGGUGAAGCCAGAGGAAACUCUGGUGGAAGCUCGCAGCGGUUCU